UUAGAAUGGUUGACUACCCUUCUGGGUACU
rnacentral:sRNA from 1 species